CCUACGGGAGACAGCAGUGGGGAAUAUUGCACAAUGGGGGGAACCCUGAUGCAGCGACGCCGCGUGAGUGAAGAAGUAUUUCGGUAUGUACAGCUCUAUCAGCAGGGACGAAAAUGACGGUACCUGACUAAGAAGCCCCGGCUAACUACGUGCCAGCAGCCGCGGUAAUACGUAGGGGGCAAGCGUUAUCCGGAUUUCCUGGGUGGAAAGGGAGCGUAGACGGCAGAGAAAGUCAGAAGUGAACGCCCGCGGCUCAACUGCGGGACUGCUUUGGAAACUGCGCGGCUAGAGUGCUGGAGAGGUAAGCGGAAUUCCUAGUGUAGCGGUGAAAUGCGUAGAUAUUAGGAGGAACACCAGUGGCGAAGGCGGCUUACUGGACAGUAACUGACGUUGAGGCUCGAAAGCGUGGGGAGCAAACAGGAUUAGAUACCCCUGUAGUC
rnacentral:rRNA from 1 species